AUGCUGUGUGAAAGGAGAGAAGGUUGGCACUCCCCUUGACAAAGAUGGAAGAUGGAGCCCGAAGUGAUUGCACAGUGGGUAGGGCAUUUGCCUCGCACAUUGCUACCCCAGUUCAAU